rnacentral:rRNA from 1 species
AAUCAACGCUGGCGGCGUGCCUCAGACAUGCAAGUCGAACGCGAAAGUUCCCUUCGGGGAGCAAGUAGAGUGGCGCACGGGUGAGUAACACGUAGGUAACUUGCCUUCGGGUGGGGAAUAACAGUCGGGAAACGACUGCUAAUACCGCAUAAUGCAGCGGCUCGACAUCGAGACAGUUGUUAAAGCGGGGGAUCCUUCGGGACCUCGCGCCUGAAGAGAAGCCUGCGGCAGAUUAGCUAGUUGGUGAGGUAAUGGCCCACCAAGGCUACGAUCUGUAACCGGCCUGAGAGGGCGGUCGGUCACACUGACACUGACA